rnacentral:rRNA from 1 species
GACGAACGCUGGCGGCGUGCUUAACACAUGCAAAUCGAACGGUAAGGCCCUUCGGAGUACACGAGUGGCGAACGGGUGAGUAACACGUGGGUGAUCUGCCCUGCACUUCGGGAUAAGCCUGGGAAACUGGGUCUAAUACCGGAUAGGACCCUGGGAUGCAUGUCCUGGGGUGGAAAGCUUUUGCGGUGUGGGAUGGGCCCGCGGCCUAUCAGCUUGUUGGUGGGGUGAUGGCCUACCAAGGCGACGACGGGUAGCCGGCCUGAGAGGGUGACCGGCCACACUGGGACUGAGAUACGGCCCAGACUCCUACGGGAGGCAGCAGUGGGGAAUAUUGCACAAUGGGCGCAAGCCUGAUGCAGCGACGCCGCGUGAGGGAUGACGGCCUUCGGGUUGUAAACCUCUUUCAGCACCGACGAAGCGCAAGUGACGGUAGGUGCAGAAGAAGAACCGGCCAACUACGUGCCAGCAGCCGCAGUAA